rnacentral:rRNA from 1 species
CAGCACCUCAAGUGGUCAGGAUGAUUAUUGGGCCUAAAGCAUCCGUAGCCGGCUCUGUAAGUUUUCGGUUAAAUCUGUAUGCUCAACAUACAGGCUGCCGGGAAUACUGCAGAGCUAGGGAGUGGGAGAGGUAGACGGUACUCGGUAGGAAGGGGUAAAAUCCUUUGAUCUAUUGAUGACCACCUGUGGCGAAGGCGGUCUACCAGAACACGUCCGACGGUGAGGGAUGAAAGCUGGGGGACCAAACCGGAUUAGAUACCCGAGUAGUCC